CAGACCACAGAAGCAGCAGGAUGUAAGCUGCCCCACUGAAAAAGCAGGUCGAUGGCAGUGGGAAGACACGGGCUGUGCAGCAUGGAAAACAGCAGCUGAAGAUCCUAUAACCAGCAACCUGCCCUUCAGAUGUGGGAGCCCCUCUGUAUGCUAAUGAAAUCUGCAAACAGAAUAUGUCACCUGAGAACUUUCAUGGACAAGCAUGACAUCAUUUCCCAGACUUCCUCUUUCUUUCUUCUGGGAGUUCAGUGAGGAGAGUCUACACACAGCACUGAGCCUGUGGGUACCACAGACAGGAGGCAAGGAGAAGUGUCCUCGGCGUGCCUCCAGAGAGCGGUCAAAGCCAGACUUUCUUCAGACUGCGGAUGCUGCUUACUCGCUGUGCCAUGCCCCUGGCUGCAUGCCUGCUCUCCCCCU